GACGAACGCUGGCGGCGUGCCUAAUACAUGCAAGUCGAACGCUGAAGAGAGGAGCUUGCUCUUCUUGGAUGAGUUGCGAACGGGUGAGUAACGCGUAGGUAACCUGCCUUGUAUCGGGGGAUAACUAUUGGAAACGAUAGCUAAUACCGCAUAACAAUGGAUGACACAUGUCAUUUAUUUGAAAGGGGCCAUUUCUCCACUACAAGAUGGACCUGCGUUGUAUUAGCUAGUAGGUGAGGUAAUGACUCACCUAGGCGACGAUACAUAGCCGACCUGAGAGGGUGAUGGGCCAAACUGGGACUGAGACACGGCCCAGACUCCUACGGGAGGCAGCAGUAGGGAAUCUUCGGCAAUGGGGGCAAACCUGACCGAGCAACGCCGCGUGAGUGAAGAAGGUUUUCGGAUCGUAAAGCUCUGUUGUAAGUCAAGAACGGGUGUGAGAGUGGAAAGUUCACACUGUGACGGUAGCUUACCAGAAAGGGACGGCUAACUACGUG
rnacentral:rRNA from 1 species